rnacentral:rRNA from 1 species
CACGUAGGGUGCGAGCGUUGUCCGGAAUUAUUGGGCGUAAAGCGCACGUAGGCGGGUCCUUAAGUCAGGGGUGAAAUCCCGGAGCUCAACUCCGGAACUGCCUUUGAUACUGGGGAUCUUGAGUCCGGAAGAGGUGAGUGGAACUCCGAGUGUAGAGGUGAAAUUCGUAGAUAUUCGCAAGAACACCAGUGGCGAAGGCGGCUCACUGGUCCGGUUCUGACGCUGAGGCGCGAAAGCGUGGGGAGCAAACAGG